UGAGGGCUGGGAUUACAAGAGUGUACCACUGCACCCUGUUUAUGCGGUCCUGAGGAUAAAACUCAGGGCUCUGUACCUGCUAGGCAAGCACUCUGCCAUCGAAGCUACAUUCCCAUGCCUCUUCUCUGGAUGUUCAUCAUUGGCUAACACAGGUGCUGUAAGGCCAGAUACCUUGCAUAAAGCCUGGCCCAUGGUGGGAACACAUGAAGCAGAAAGAAAAAAAAUCAAACAACAAACAACAACAAAAUCAAAAACCCUUGGAGUUUAUACAAUGCUCAGGCCAGCUCCAGAAAAACCCUUUUCUUAGCCCUGUUCCUGAAUGCCCCACGGUAGACAAGUUCUACCUGGCCUGGAUCUUCCCCAUACAAGCAUCUCCUAGGCAGUGUAGCUUUUCCUUUCUGCCCACUUCCCUCAUCGUGGAACCCCAAUU
rnacentral:lncRNA from 1 species